rnacentral:rRNA from 1 species
GACGAACGCUGGCGGCGUGCUUAACACAUGCAAGUCGAACGGUAAGGCCCUUUCGGGGGUACACGAGUGGCGAACGGGUGAGUAACACGUGGGUGAUCUGCCCUGCACUUUGGGAUAAGCCUGGGAAACUGGGUCUAAUACCGGAUAGGACUACGCGAUGCAUGUCGUGUGGUGGAAAGCUUUUGCGGUGUGGGAUGGGCCCGCGGCCUAUCAGCUUGUUGGUGGGGUGAUGGCCUACCAAGGCGACGACGGGUAGCCGGCCUGAGAGGGUGUCCGGCCACACUGGGACUGAGAUACGGCCCAGACACCUACGGGAGGCAGCAGUGGGGAAUAUUGCACAAUGGGCGCAAGCCUGAUGCAGCGACGCCGCGUGGGGGAUGACGGCCUUCGGGUUGUAAACCCCUUUCAGCACAGACGAAGCGUAAGUGACGGUAUGUGCAGAAGAAGCACCGGCCAACUACGUG